UUGGAGAGCCUGGGCGAUGGGCUCAAGACGAGUCUUGUUGCUGCUGCUGCUGCUGCCCUUACCUCGCACAACCCUGCCAAACUGAAUUGAAUAAAAACUUGUCCAAAUCAACAUCUCAAUCUGCCUCGAGAAACGUGUACAUUAUUUCUCAUCCGGAUUUCCACCACACGACCACAAUGCUACGAGUGAGCCAUAUGUGGGGUCGAUCUAGUGAACCCCCUUCGGGAGGAUCAUUACAUUGGUACCCACGGCUACAUCGCCCUGUCAUAGGGUGAAGAACCGCACCCCCUGUCUUCCCCCCCAUCCCCACAUCGGUGUGACGGACUGUAACCCAGCAACCCCAUCGGACAUCCCCGAAGUCACCCCGAAUUUCCAAAAACUUGACAACCAACCCCAUAGAACACCCCGGAGUCACCCCGAAUUUC